rnacentral:tRNA from 1 species
CGGGGCGUGGCGCAGCCUGGUAGCGCACCUGCUUUGGGAGCAGGGAGUCGGGGGUUCAAAUCCCUCCGCCCCGACCA